rnacentral:rRNA from 1 species
GGCUAACACAUGCAAGUCGAGCGGUAACAGGAGAAAGCUUGCUUUCUUGCUGACGAGCGGCGGACGGGUGAGUAAUGUAUGGGGAUCUGCCCGAUAGAGGGGGAUAACUACUGGAAACGGUGGCUAAUACCGCAUAAUGUCUACGGACCAAAGCAGGGGCUCUUCGGACCUUGCACUAUCGGAUGAACCCAUAUGGGAUUAGCUAGUAGGUGGGGUAAAGGCUCACCUAGGCGACGAUCUCUAGCUGGUCUGAGAGGAUGAUCAGCCACACUGGGACUGAGACACGGCCCAGACUCCUACGGGAGGCAGCAGUGGUGGAAUAUUGCACAAUGGGCGCAAGCCUGAUGCAGCCAUGCCGCGUGUAUGAAGAAGGCCUUAGGGUUGUAAAGUACUUUCAGCGGGGUUGGAAGGUGAUAAGGUUAAUACCCUUUGUCAAUUGACGUUACCCGACAGAAGAAGCACCGGCUAAGCUCCGUGCCAGCAGACCGCGGUAAUACGGAGGGUGCAAGCGUUAAUCGGUAAUUACUGGGCGUAAAGCGCACGCAGGCGGUCAAUUAAGUCAGAUGUGAAAAGCCCCGAGCUUCAACUUGGGAAUUGCAUCUGAAACUGGUUGGCUAGAGUCUUGUAGAGGGGGGUAGAAUUCCAAUGUGUAGCGGUGAAAUGCGUAGAGAUUGUGGAAUGGAAUACCGGUGGCGAAGGCGGCCCCCGGGGGACAAAGACUGACGCUCAGGUGCGAAAGCGUGGGGAGCAAACAGGGAUUAGAUACCCUGGUAGUCCCGACGCUGUAAACGAUGGUCGAUUUAGAGGUUGUGGUCUUGA